UUAAGGCUGAUCAAAGUCAUAGAAUACUCUACAGAUCUCAGCCUAAGAGUAACAGUCAAAUGAAGCACAUUGGAGCGGAGUGAUGUGUUCAUCAGGCCAAUCAGAAUAUAGAUAUGACAUAAUAAUAUUAACACGUCAGCUAUCAAUAACUUGAUUGGGCUAUUGAACACGUUUCCGCACCGCUCCGCUUCAGGAAAACGCACCUUAAGGCGCAAACACUGUCACCCGCCCGAUAAGACGCUCUAAGUACCUCCUUAAGGACCUCGACGAUCAAAUGACCAAAAAUUCACCCUAUUUUGUAGGGUAACACAUCAACAACCUCUGCACAGCGUCUUGGCCGGUGAAGACGAGGUUCCCGAUUUCUAACGUCACCCGGACGUGGACUCGGGGGGCGUUAGGAUCCUAAUCAAAUCCGAC